CCACAUCAGUACCUGUAUGAUCACUGAAGUUAAGCAAUAUUGAGCUGGGUUAGUACCUAGAUGGGUGACCACUUGAGAAUACCAGGUGCA